rnacentral:rRNA from 1 species
AGCGAACGCUGGCGGCAGGCCUAACACAUGCAAGUCGAACGAACUCUUCGGAGUUAGUGGCGGACGGGUGAGUAACACGUGGGAACGUGCCUUUAGGUUCGGAAUAACUCAGGGAAACUUGUGCUAAUACCGAAUGUGCCUUUCGGGGGAAAGAUUUAUCGCCUUUAGAGCGGCCCGCGUCUGAUUAGCUAGUUGGUGGGGUAAUGGCCCACCAAGGCUACGAUCAGUAGCUGGUCUGAGAGGAUGACCAGCCACAUUGGGACUGAGACACGGCCCAAACUCCUACAGGAGGCAGCAGUGGGGAAUCUUGCGCAAUGGGCGAAAGCCUGACGCAGCCAUGCCGCGUGGGUGAUGAAGGCCUCAGGGUUGUAAAGCCCUUUCGGCGGGGAAGAUAAUGACGGUACCCGCAGAAGAAGCCCCGGCUAACUUCGUGCCAGCCGCCGCGGUAAGAC